CCCGGCUGCCGCCGCCGCCUCACCCUCGGCCGCCUGCAAAGUCUGCAGGAGCUGACGCGCUUCCUCCUCCUCCUCUUCGGUCGCGGCCGCCGCCACCGCCUCCCCCCCAGCCGCCGGCCCCGCGCUCGGCUCCGCAGGCAAGGCCGCGUUUUUUGCCCCCCCCUCCCCCCGCGUGUGCCUCUGGCUCAGGGCCUCAGUUUCCCCAUCGGGACAACGGAGAAGGUAACGGGCCGUCCGGGAGAGAUAAAGGCGCGAAGCCACCUCCACCCCGAGACUGAGCUUCUGCACGCCUCCGUCUCCAGGGUCCUCUGAAGGCGCCCCCACUCCCCAUCUCUGCAGGCGCUCCGCCCCUCGGAAUUCCCGGCUCCGCAGAGGGGCGGGUCUGGCAGGGAGAAGGGGCGGGGGAAACGGGCUAGAAAGUUUGCAGCAACUUUUCUUGAGAGUUAAGUCCUGGAACGGAUACGCGUGGCCUGCGCAGGCGCAGUGGUAGAAGGAUGGCGGCUCGCGCUGCAGGCCCAGCCCCUUUCUUCCCUGGGAUCAGGUGGCACAGCUGGGUCACAGCUGGAGAAGAGGCGGUGCCUCCGGGUGGUCCGCUUGCCCUCUCCUAUUGGUCGGCCUCUGAGCCACGCCCCCGGCCCGCCGCCCGUUCGCUUGUCCCGCUAGCUCCCCUCAAAGCUAUUGGCCGCCUCCGCUCGCCUUCUGAUUGGCCCACUGAGCAGCCUCCUUCCUCCACGCCAACAGCGGACACCACGGAAUUCAGAGCUUUGGGAAGACGAGAGGGCCUUUUAUUUCGCGGGGACUGGGGGUGGGGUCCCAGGUGGGGAGAGGCAAUAAAUACCGAGGAAUGUCGGGGUCUCAGUGCAUCCAAAACGUGGAUUAGGGUGCUGGGGUCCUGGAGCCUGUCAGCGGGUCGGAGGACAGGUCAAUAAAUACCCAAAUCGCCGAGGCGGGAGAAGCUGGCUGUGGCUCCGAGAGCAGAGCACGAGAGCCCCCGAGAAAAUGGGGCUGCCAAAAGCAAAAGUUUCCCGAGAGCAGGGUCUCAUGCACAGAGGAUUUGUGGACUGCAGACCGACGGGGGAGCGGGUACGUGGAGUGUGAAAAACGGAUGUCCGAGCCCUGGGCCCUGCUGCCUUCUCUAGAUCGUGGUUUGCCCAUCCAUGUCGGGGCCUCAGCAAGGCCGGAAAAAGGAAGUGGCCCACGAUUCCCACCAGCAGCAGCAGCAUUCCCGGCUACAGGCCUCCCGAGAGCCCGGUGCUCCGGCCGCGGCCCGGCUCUUCCCUCCCCGACCGCCAGGGAGCGGGCCCGGAUCACAGGGCUGAAGCUGGGACGGAGACGGUAGCUAAAAGUGAUGAGAACCGGAGGGCGGUGGAAGUGGCCUCUGGGCCAAGCCAGAUCACUCAACCGUCCAGCGCAGCCCGAGUGGAGGACAGGCUGGAGUACUAGGGUUCAGGGGGCGAAGGCGGCUCCCGGGAGGCGCCAGAGUUGGGUGAGGUGGCCGACGUAGGCCACCAACCCAGAGCAGCCCAAGGCGGCGGCACGAGCCAGAGCAGCGGCGAACAAGAGCAGGGAACGCGCCUCCGAUACGCCAAGCCUAGGGUCCUGCGAGAGAGAGGGCGGGAUCAGAACCAGCGAUACGGGUUCCAGAUUGGCUCCCAGGACUCGCCUUGCCUACGCCCACCCCCUACGCCAGUGCGGGCGUCUGGUUGGCCGGCUUUCAAGCCUCCAGUCUUGUCCGAGCUCGUCAUUGGCCACUUCCUAGAUGUCUGUAUUGAUUGGCUGCCCGAGCAUCCCUCCCCUCGACAGGCCCAGCCCCUCACAGGCGCAGCUAAGCAGGGGUGGCUUGGGGUAGGUGCAGCGCGGCGGGGACGCGGCGGCGGGCGUGAACAGCCGGACGUACCCUGGCAGGGAGCAGCAGGUGGCGGCGGUGCAUGGGGCCUGGCCCCACCAGCGGGCACUGGCCCAGAGCCACGGCCGGGGGGCCAUCUAGCUGGAGAGAGAAGGGACAGGUGACCCGAUCGGAGCCCACCUGGCCCGGCCGCUGUAGGCAAAGGACUAGAGACAACGAGGGGAAUUAAGAUAUAGGAGAAAUCUAGGGAGAUCCCAGGCGGGAUUGGGAUUUCGUAAAUGGCCUGAACCAAGGGAGACCUCGUAGAUGUGGGGCUGAAUGGAGGGUAUCUGCCGCCUGGAACCCCAAAGAGGUGUCCACACAGGCCGCGGCCCACCUCCCCACCCGCCACCUUCAGCGCCCUCGGGGUAAGGGCGGACGAGGGACUUGCCUGCGGCCCCUUCAGCCUGCAGCAACUGCAUCCGCUCCUGGAGCUGUCGGACGUGCGCCUCCAGGUCUCGAUUCCGGGCCUCGGCCUCGCGGAGUUGACUGCGGGGAGGUAAGGACUGUGAGCCCUUCGAAUCCCGGCGGGAGAGGCUGCCCAAGGUAGCGACUUGCACCUGAGCCCCAACUCCAACCUGGCGAAGUUCUGGUUGGCCGUACGGAUGGUCUCCAGCUCCCGGCUCAGGCUCUGCCGGGGAUCAUUAGUGACUGUAGUAACCCCUACUCUUUUCUAUCGCCUGUCAAGCAAGCUCCCAGAGGGCUCAGCACUCCAUGGCACCCGCCACCCCCCGGAAGCCCUCGACUCUGCUCUCUAGUCCCCCCCCCACUGACCCUCUCCAGUGACUCACAGUCUCCUCUGGUAGGGGCACGGGGAGCUCUGGCCUGGGUGCUUGCUCGGGUGGCUCAGGCAAUUGCUCGGCCUCCAGUUCCAUGGGCCUGGGGCCUGGGACCUCAUCAUCCCUGGGGAAAGGAAGAGGGGGAGAAGCGGAGCCAGUCACCCCAGAGAGGCUGCUGAAGCCCUGGGUUUAGAGCCAGGACUCCUUGCUGGCAAGGAGACACACCCUCCCUAGGAAAAUGAAACUGCAAUAAAAGUGGAUGUCUCCUCCAACCUGGCAA